GACGAACGCUGGCGGCGUGCUUAACACAUGCAAGUCGAGCGGUAAGGCCCUUUCGGGGGUACACGAGCGGCGAACGGGUGAGUAACACGUGGGUGACCUGCCCUCAGCUCUGGGAUAAGCCUGGGAAACCGGGUCUAAUACUGGAUAUGACUCCAUGACGCAUGUUGUGGGGUGGAAAGCCUUGUGCGGCUGAGGAUGGGCCCGCGGCCUACCAGCUUGUUGGUGGGGUGAUGGCCUACCAAGGCGACGACGGGUAGCCGGCCUGAGAGGGCGACCGGCCACACUGGGACUGAGACACGGCCCAGACUCCUACGGGAGGCAGCAGUGGGGAAUCUUGCGCAAUGGGCGAAAGCCUGACGCAGCGACGCCGCGUGAGGGAUGACGG
rnacentral:rRNA from 1 species